GCGAGACCUUUUUCAAAACGUGUUUCAAGACACAGGAGAGGUCGGGUUGAAAUAUUACUGAUGUUUCACAUUAAAAAUGGACCAAAAGAUUGACGCUAAACAACGUUUGACAUGUUUGAACGAACGUAAAUAGAUUUUUUUUUUUACUUUUUGUCGUGACUUUUCCCUCCCGCGCCCUACAUUUUGAGUAGCCUACCGAACGCGCUAACAACACGGAACAGCAUGGCAUUAUUUGGACAUAAAUUAUGAACUUCAUUGAAAAAAACAACAUUUGUUGUGGACCUGAGAUUCCUGGAAGUGCCUUCUGAUGAAGAUUAUUAAAGGAAACAUGUCCGGCAGUUGAAAUAGGGAGAGGUCAAAUCCAGUUCCUCUAGAAUUGCAUUCUGGACCAUCGUGUUGAGUUAAUAGUUCGAAUGAUGCCGUGUUCGUCAUGGCAACGACGGGCCUGCCUUCACCAACGGAAGAGGAAUGGG
rnacentral:lncRNA from 1 species